AGUAACGGCGAGUGAAGCGGGAAUAGCUCAAGCUUGAAAUCUGUGUUGGUCUAACCAACACCGAAUUGUAGUCUCGAGAAGUGUUUUCAAAGUGGAGACUGUGUACCCAAGUUGCUUGGAAGUGCACACCAUAGAGGGUGACAGUCCCGUGUACGGUAUGCAGUCACCACCCACGAUACACUCUCCAUGAGUCGGGUUGCUUGGGAAUGCAGCCCAAAAUGGGAGGUAAACUCCUUCUAAAGCUAAAUACGGACACGAGACCGAUAGCGAACAAGUACCGUGAGGGAAAGAUGAAAAGAACUUUGAAAAGAAAGUUAAAAGUACGUGAAACCGUCAAUGGGGAAGCGUAUGGAAUUAGCAAUGCUCGGUAAAGAUUCAGGCUAGUGUCUGGUCGCCCGCUACGAGUUAGGAUCCGAAUGGACUGUCUUGUAGCGAAGCGAACGGCUAUUGGUUGCACUUCUAUGCUGGGGCGCGUCAACAAAUGUCUGAACCGGACCAGAACACCUAGACAGAAGGUGGCCGGCUUCGGCUGGUGUUAUAACUGACGGGAUGAAGCUCGAGUCAGACAUGGGAGGCGCGGUGCGUGCUCUUCGGGGCUGGCUGCUCUCGCCACGCUUGGCUGUGACCAUGAUGGACUACAAGUAGUGCAUUUGAACUUCAGCUCGGGUCGUGGUCGGGAAUGCGGUACAAACGCACCAAGGUUGUUGACGGACAAAUGAUUUCAUACGACCCGUCUUGAAACACGGACC
rnacentral:rRNA from 1 species